rnacentral:lncRNA from 1 species
GGGAGGGUGGGUGAUGGGUAUUGAGGAGGGCACCUUUUGGGAUGAGCACUGGGUGUUGUAUGGAAACCAAUUUGUCAAUAAAUUUCAUAUAUAAAAAAAAAAAAAAGAAAAGAAAAUGUGGCCUUGAAGUGUGAAGUCUUUCCUUCAUGCUCAAUUCACAAAUUUGCUUGCACUUUUACUUCUUUAAAAAUGUUUUAAACAUUUUUGAGACAGACUGCGAGUGGGGGAGGGGCAGAGAGAGAAGGAGACACCGAAUUCGAAGCAGGAUCCAGGCUCUGAGUUCUCAGGACAGAGCCCUACCUGGGGCUCAAACCCACAAACUGAGAGAUCAUGACCUGAACCGAAGUCAGGCUUGACUGAGCCACUCAGGCGCCCCCACGUGCGCUUUUAGGAAAAGGAUUGUUGGGGCGCCUGGGUGGCUCAGUUGGUUUAAGCAUCCGACUUCAGCUCAGGUCGUGGGGGUUGAUGCGUUUGAGUCCCCCCAUGGGACUCUGCGGUCAGCACUUCAGAUCCUCUGUCCCCUCUCUCUGGCCCUCCCCUGCUUGUGCGCACUCUCCCUCUCCGUGUCUUAAAAGAAAUAAACUUAAAAAAUGUAUUUAAAGAAACGAUGGUUUACUUACAGAUUCAAAGUCAUACUCCCAAGAGUUGCGUGUAUUUUGCCUCCUGUGCGGCAGUUUCCCUGAUUAUUUAAAUGAGCAGCCAGGCCCCAAACGCAGCUGGUUGGCUAGCCUCAGUGCCAUCAAAGGGAACGGAGCCUCACUGCGAUUGCGUGCAGUUGGCUUGGCCGAGGCUCCCUGCCCUCCGGUACAACUCAGGGAGGCACACGCUUAGCAUUUUAAUCACACUUCGGCCAACCUUCGAAGCUGGCAUGGGGGGAGGGGGGAAAAUCAACUUCCUGCUGGCUUUCAAGUUUGACGACAGAACGGCCACACCAAAUGAACUUGCAGCCCUGCCGCUCUCGGUGGCCUUCCUGGCCCGGCUGGAGUCAGCGUACCCAGUCCUUCAGAAGGGAUCACGGGAACGACACCUGCCAAAUACAUGUGGAGUCCAGGAGGCUAAGAAGGCGAUUUCGUCGGGGCAUCCUGGUCACCACAACCGGACAUGUAGGCAAUUAUUUACGGUCUGAGAGGCGCUGUGGGAUCAGAGAGAGCCCGGGCUCUGGGGGGAAGCGUUUUUCCACCCAUCACACUAGCCAAGAUGAAAAAAUUAGGGAAAAUGCACGUUGUUGAAAGUCUGGGAAACAGACACUCCCAGAAACGCUGGGAGUGAACACUAGAGCAACUUCAAAGAACUUUACCUCUCAAAAUGUAAAAAGUGUGCACCCUUUGCUAUGCAAGGUCACCUGUUAAGCCAUCCUACUGUAGCGUUUUUCUUAGACACAUACUUAACACUUACACACGAUUACAAAUGUAGCAAUGAGGGGCGCCUGGGUGGCUGAGUCAGUUAAGCGUCCCAACUCUUGAUUUCAGCUCAGGUCACGAUCUCACAGUUCACGAGAUCGAGCCCCGCGUCAGGUUCUGCGCUGACAGCACAGAGCCUGCUUGGGAUUCUCUCUCUCCCUCUUUCUCUGCCUCUCUCUGUCUCCCCAAAUAAAUAAACAUGAAAAAACGUAGCAAUGUCACGUUGGGACUGGGAACUAAUGAAAUAUGUUAAAGUACACUCCUAUAAUGUUUUACCAAGUUUCAUUAUUUUAGUUCUGUAACCUUUAUUAGUUUUUAAUUUAUUUUUGAGAGAGAGAGCGUGCACGCAGGGGACGGGCAGAGAGAGAGGUGGGGACAGCGCAUCCAAAGCGGGCUCCACGCUGACAGCACAAGCCCAGUGAGGGGCUGGAUCUCGUGAACCAAACUGUGAGAUCAUGACCUGAGCCAUCCAGGUGCCCCGAUUCCUGUACCCUUUGUAUCAUACCUCACACGUUAGAUUUUGUCACAACUGGAUUAGUGGAAGCAGAGGAAUCCAGUUCGCGAUUUUCUGAAACACUGGCACAAAAAAGGUAAGAGAACAGUGCCUUAGAAAAGAUUCUUCGUAAAAGAUCACCAGAAAAACCCCUAAACAAAAGCUAAAGAAUCGUGAAGUUUAAUCUGAAUAGGUAAAAACUUAUUACAGCGAGCUGGUACUAAGUUUCUUGCUUAAGCCCAUAAAUCUUUCCCUAAACGUUACUGAUCCUCUGAAGGAUAAAUGUAACUCAGCAGUACGUUAUGACACUGAUAGCUGCUGGAACAUUCCACAGAAAAACAGAAAAUAAUUUUGUAAGAACAUAAUGGCAACCAUCAGCAGCUGGUAUUCUCAGACUUUCAAAUUCCUGAAAGCAUAUACAAUUUUAGUCUCGAAACAGUCAACAUUUUUUAAAAACCCAGCUUUCAGAAUGAAAAGCAACCUCCCCUCCCGUCUUUUCCCCAGCACAGAGAUACUGAAAGAGUUCCUAAAAAUGUCCCUAAAUAGCCUAUGGAAAGAAAAAUAUGGCUUUGUAUUUAUUUUUGAAAACUUUUUAAAUGUUUAUUUUUUGAGAGAGAGUGAGCGAGUGUGCAUGUGAGUGUGGGAGGGGCAGAGAGAGAGGGAGACACAGAAUCCGAAGCAGGCUCCAGGCUCUGAGCUAUCCGCACAGAGCCGGACGUGGAGCUCGAACCCACGAACCACGGGAUCAAGACUUAAGCCGAAGUCAGACACUUAACUGACUGAGCCACCCAG